rnacentral:rRNA from 1 species
CAUGCAAGUCGAGGGGCAGCAUGNAACUUAGCUUGCUAAGUUUGAUGGCGACCGGCGCACGGGUGAGUAACACGUAUCCAACCUGCCGAUGACUCGGGGAUAGCCUUUCGAAAGAAAGAUUAAUACCCGAUGGCAUAGUUCUUCCGCAUGGUAGAACUAUUAAAGNAUUUCGGUCAUCGAUGGGGAUGCGUUCCAUUAGGUUGUUGGCGGGGUAACGGCCCACCAAGCCUUCGAUGGAUAGGGGUUCUGAGAGGAAGGUCCCCCACAUUGGAACUGAGACACGGUCCAAACUCCUACGGGAGGCAGCAGUGAGGAAUAUUGGUCAAUGGACGAGAGUCUGAACCAGCCAAGUAGCGUGAAGGAUGACUGCCCUAUGGGUUGUAAACUUCUUUUAUACGGGAAUAAAGUGAGGCACGUGUGCCUUUUUGUAUGUACCGUAUGAAUAAGGAUCGGCUAACUCCGUGCCAGCAGCCGCGGUAAUACGGAGGAUCCGAGCGUUAUCCGGAUUUAUUNGGGUUUAAAGGGAGCGUAGGCGGACGCUUAAGUCAGUGGGAAAAGUUUGCGGCUCAACCGUAAAAUUGCAGUUGAUACUGGGUGUCUUGAGUACAGUAGAGGCAGGCGGAAUUCGUGGUGUAGCGGUGAAAUGCUUAGAUAUCACGAAGAACUCCGAUUGCGAAGGCAGCUUGCUGGACUGUAACUGACGCUGAUGCUCGAAAGUGUGGGUAUCAAACAGGAUUAGAUACCCUGGUAGUCCACACAGUAAACGAUGAAUACUCGCUGUUUGCGAUAUACAGUAAGCGGCCAAGCGAAAGCGUUAAGUAUUCCACCUGGGGAGUACGCCGGCAACGGUGAAACUCAAAGGAAUUGACGGGGGCCCGCACAAGCGGAGGAACAUGUGGUUUAAUUCGAUGAUACGCGAGGAACCUUACCCGGGCUUGAAUUGCAACUGAAUGAUGUGGAGACAUAUCAGCCGCAAGGCAGUUGUGAAGGUGCUGCAUGGUUGUCGUCAGCUCGUGCCGUGAGGUGUCGGCUUAAGUGCCAUAACGAGCGCAACCCUUAUCGAUAGUUACCAUCAGGUUAUGCUGGGGACUCUGUCGAGACUGCCGUCGUAAGAUGUGAGGAAGGUGGGGAUGACGUCAAAUCAGCACGGCCCUUACGUCCGGGGCUACACACGUGUUACAAUGGGGGGUACAGAAGGCAGCUACACGGCGACGUGAUGCUAAUCCCGAAAGCCUCUCUCAGUUCGGAUUGGAGUCUGCAACCCGACUCCAUGAAGCUGGAUUCGCUAGUAAUCGCGCAUCAGCCACGGCGCGGUGAAUACGUUCCCGGGCCUUGUACACACCGCCCGUCAAGCCAUGAAAGCCGGGGGUACCUGAAGU